UGCUAGGGAGAGACCCUGGUUCACCUGAGCUGCCUGCGGUGUGCGAGCUGCCCGGCACCAGCAGCCCACCGGUUAUUCCUUGAAGGGGCCUCUGGCCUAGUGGACUGGAGCAGUGACCAGGGGCCACAACUGUUCCUGGUGGGUGAGCAGCCAGGCUCCCUGCCCUCUGACCCUGCUACCUGGUUACUGAGAUAUGGACCCUCUCUCCAAAAGAGGCUCCCACUGGCUGCUGCUGGUUGUCCACAUUAGAACCCAGAUUCUUGCAGGAGAAGCAACUGCUAUUUCCCAGAAAACGGGCGCUAAGACCUCCGCGCCCUUCCCUUGGAUGAUCUCUCCCAGGGCUUCAGCGGCUGGCGCGGUGCCGGGGAUCCUCCCAGACUUCCAUCUGCAGCCAAAGCCACCUCAGAGGAGCUGCUGGUGUCCUCCUCUAGAAGCUCCGAUCGGAACUCAUCUGAAUCACACGUCUGCUCCUCCUCCUCACGCCCCACCUCACUGGCAGCCCUUCCUACUCCCAGCUGUUCAAGGCAGCGCCCUGAGAAAUGGCCUCACCCGCCCCCCUUGCUCUCACUCUGCAGAGCCAACGUGUUUGCCCGUCUUGCCAGCUACCUUGGACCCACAGACCCCUGCUACCUUGGCUGCCACUGCGUAGCCCAGAACCCCACCUUUGACUGGGAUCUCUGCAACAGCCCCCACUCCCACCGCACUGCUGUCUCCAGUUCUCUCUUCACACUGCAGCCAGAGGGAGCCCACAACCUCCAAGUCCUCUCCUGUUUAACACUUCACAGCAACUUUCCUCCUCUCACCAUCGGUCCAAACUUAUUCAUGUGGCUCCUAACUUCUGGGGAGCCUGGCCUCCCCCGCCCCUCCUGCUGUAUGUCCCUGCCUGACCCAAGUUUCUCCAAUUAGCCACAGUGCCCUCCUUGUACCUCCCUCACCUGAGCCUGGGGAGCUCGGCAUCCUCUAGGCUCCCGGUGUAAACAUCACUGUGUUCCAACCACCCAGUCUCUCUGAACUUCCCCUUUGUAACAAGCAAACACCAUCCUUUAUUGUAGUUACUUGUUCAAUGCCUGUCUUCCCCACUAAACUGAGGUCCUUAAAGGGAGAGAUACUAUUA